CCUACGGGGAGCAGCAGUGGGGAAUAUUGCACAAUGGGGGAAACCCUGAUGCAGCGACGCCGCGUGAGUGAGGAAGUAUUUCAGUAUGUAAAGCUCUAUCAGCAGGGAAGAAAAUGACGGUACCUGACUAAGAAGCCCCGGCUAACUACGUGCCAGCAGCCGCGGUAAUACGUAGGGGGCAAGCGUUAUCCGGAUUUACUGGGUGUAAAGGGAGCGUAGACGGCUAAUCAAGUCAGAAGUGAAAACCCAGGGCUCAACCUUGGGACUGCUUUUGAAACUGAGUAGCUAGAGUGCGGGAGAGGUAGGCGGAAUUCCUGGUGUAGCGGUGAAAUGCGUAGAUAUUAGGAGGAACACCAGUGGCGAAGGCGGCUUACUGGACUGUAACUGACGUUGAGGCUCGAAAGCGUGGGGAGCAAACAGGAUUAGAUACCCCUGUAGUC
rnacentral:rRNA from 1 species